UACAGAGGUCCCAAGCGUUGUUCGGAUUCAUUGGGCGUAAAGAGCUCGUAGGCGGCUCAUUGCGUCAACCGUGAAAACCAGCAGCUCAACUGUUGGCUUGCGGUUGAUACGGGUGGGCUGGAGUUCGGUAGGGGAGACUGGAAUUCCUGGUGUAGCGGUGAAAUGCGCAGAUAUCAGGAGGAACACCGGUGGCGAAGGCGGGUCUCUGGGCCGAUACUGACGCUGAGGAGCGAAAGCGUGGGGAGCGAACAGG
rnacentral:rRNA from 1 species